rfam:Ornithorhynchus anatinus chromosome 10, whole genome shotgun sequence.
CACCUCUGAGGAUGGGCACCUGGAGAGUUUCCAGUAGUCUACCAGUCUCGACUAUGGGAGGGAGAGUCAAGCAGAGGCCUACUCAUUCCGUUCCUAGCUCAGGCAGUGGCUAGCGAGUGGAAGGCAAUCUGCUACAAGU